CCUACGGGUGGCAGCAGUGAGGAAUAUUGGUCAAUGGGCGGGAGCCUGAACCAGCCAAGUCGCGUGAGGGAAGACGGUCCUAUGGAUUGUAAACCUCUUUAGGCGGGGAGCAAUGCCGGGCACGCGUGCCCGGAGGGAGAGUACCCGCAGAAUAAGCAUCGGCUAACUCCGUGCCAGCAGCCGCGGUAAUACGGAGGAUGCGAGCGUUAUCCGGAUUUAUGGGGUUUGAAGGGUGCGGAGGCGGAGUUUUAAGUCAGCGGUAAAAUUUCUGGGCUCAACCCGGGCCGGCCGUUGAAACUGGGGAUCUUGAGUGGGCGAGAAGUAUGCGGAAUGCGUGGUGUAGCGGUGAAAUGCAUAGAUAUCACGCAGAACUCCGAUUGCGAAGGCAGCAUACCGGCGCCCGACUGACGCUGAGGCACGAAAGCGUGGGGAUCGAACAGGAUUAGAUACCCUUGUAGUC
rnacentral:rRNA from 1 species